GACGAACGCUGGCGGCGUGCUUGACACAUGCAAGUCGAACGGAAAGGCCUGCUUUCCCUGGUGGAUUGCGGGUACUCGAGUGGCGAACGGGUGAGUAACACGUGAGUGAUCUGCCCCCAACUUGGGGAUAAGGCUGGGAAACUUGGUCUAAUUCCCGAGAGGACUGCAGGGUGGUGGCUGUGGUGGAAAACGAUUUGCUAGUGGUUGGGGAUGAGCUGGUGGGCUAUCAGCUUGUUGGUGGGGUAAUGGCCUACCAAGGCGGCGACGGGUAGCCAGCCUGGGAAGCUGGACGGAGACAUUGGGCGGGCACUAUGGGCCAGAGUCCCACGGCAGACAGCUGCGGGGAACAGCGGACGAUGGGAGGACGCAUGAUGCAGAGGCGUCGUGUGGCGAAUGACGGUGUGCGGGUUGUGCACUCCUGUUGAAAGCGAGGAAGACACCUGGUUGGAAGGGUGGUGACGGUAGUGGCAGAAGAAGCACCGGCUAACUACGUG
rnacentral:rRNA from 1 species